rnacentral:rRNA from 1 species
GACGAACGCUGGCGGUGUGCUUAACACAUGCAAGUCGAACGGUAAGGCCCUUUCGGGGGUACACGAGUGGCGAACGGGUGAGUAACACGCGAGUAACCUGCCCUCAUCUCUGGGAUAACAGUCGGAAACGGUUGCUAAUACUGGAUAUGAGCUUGCAAGGCAUCUUGUGGGUUGGAAAGAUUUUUUUUGGUUGGGGAUGGACUCGCGGCCUAUCAGCUUGUUGGUGAGGUAGUGGCUCACCAAGGCUUCGACGGGUAGCCGGCCUGAGAGGGCGACCGGCCACAUUGGGACUGAGAUACGGCCCAAACUCCUACGGGAGGCAGCAGUGGGGAAUAUUGCACAAUGGACGGAAGUCUGAUGCAGCAACGCCGCGUGCGGGAUGACGGCCUUCGGGUUGUAAACCGCUUUCAAUUGUGACGAAGCUUUUUUGUGACGGUAGCAGUAGAAGAAGCACCGGCUAACUACGUG